AGCGUAGGCGGUUUGACAAGCCAGAGGUGAAAGACGGUCGCUCAACGAUUGCAGUGCCAUUGAUACUGGUAGACUUGAGUGUGAUUGAGGUAGCUGGAAUGGAUAGUGUAGCGGUGAAAUGCAUAGAUAUUAUCCAGAACACCGAUUGCGAAGGCAGGUUACUAAGUCAUAACUGACGCUGAGGCACGAAAGUGUGGGGAUCAAACAGGAUUAGAUACCCUCGUA
rnacentral:rRNA from 1 species